UUCUUGACCCGACCCAACCCUCUUCUUUAACAAAGAACUCAGCAGUAGACACGUGAAAUCAACACCUCUUCACCCGAUAAUUCACGCGACUCCAACAGUUUGGUUCACGAUUCCAAUAACAGAAUUUACGAUAGCAACAAGCAAAUACAUGGUGUCUAACAGAGAUAGAAGGAAAUCAGACGAAGAACGCAAGUGGUAUACUCUGAUUUCUUGUCCUCUUCCUCAUUUCCUUUUCCGCUUCGUACGAGCUUCAGCGCAGCAGAGCCAAGCGAAAUUUCCGUGUAGCGUUAGAUCAAGCCACGUCUCACACCAAGGAUGAUUGAGAUGAUCCGAGCUGUCCACGCCACUUCCCUGUUCGUAUUUUCUGGGAUUUGGGUUGAAUUUUCAUACGGUGAACAACAUUCCUUCAUCCUUGGAGAAUUUUGAAUUUUGAGAAUGAGUUGGACUUCCAACUCUAACGUUGACCUUAUCCGAUUUCCCCUCCCCCCCCCCACCAAAAAAAAAAGAAUAAACCCUAAUUUUCACGCUAUAAGGACUCAUUUUCUUCGUAGAAAGAGGGAAGAGGUUGAAAAAUAGGGGGGUGGAUGAUUUUUGUGGGGAAAAAAGGAAAAAUGAAGAGAAAAAAUGGCGAGAAAUAUAGGAGAAAAGGGUGAGAGUUCAUUUUUGUGAUUGAAGAUUUUUAGUUGGAAGAUCUCUAUCUCUAAAUAUUGAGAGCAAACUUUAAGAAAAUUAGUUGAAAGUACAUUCGUUCGAGUCUGAAAUUCUGCACAGAGUUCUAGUUGAUUGUUCGUGUUUUCGAGUUCCCUUUUGUUCUGAAAAUCAUUGUUCAUCCUGCUCGUUCUUGUCCCAGUCGCUGCCCAGAAGAAGGACAUGUAGGAUUGACGUGGGCUGAAGGUCCAAAAAUAAAAUGGGUUCAAUUACUGGUCCAGGCGAACAUAAACAAGAUUUGGACCCCAACUGUCUUUCCUUUCUUUACUCUAUUGCAUUUAUUUCUUGGUUGCUAA